rnacentral:rRNA from 1 species
GACGAACGCUGGCGGCGUGCUUAACACAUGCAAGUCGAACGGAAAGGCCCUGCGUUUGUGGGGUGCUCGAUUGGCGAACGGGUGAGUAACACGUGAGUAACCUGCCCUUGACUUUCGGAUAACUUCAGGAAACUGGGGCUAAUACCGGAUAGGAUCUCCUGCUGCAUGGUGGUGGUUGGAAAGUUUCGGCGGUUGGGGAUGGACUCGCGGCUUAUCAGCUUGUUGGUGGGGUAGUUGCUUACCAAGGCUUUGACGGGUAGCCGGCCUGAGAGGGUGACCGGCCACAUUGGGACUGAGAUACGGACCAGAAUCCUACGGGAGGCAGCAGUGGGGAAUAUUGCACAAUGGGCGGAAGCCUGAUGCAGCAACGCCGCGUGCGGGAUGACGGCCUUCGGGUUGUAAACCGCUUUCGCCUGUGACGAAGCGUGAGUGACGGUAAUGGGUAAAGAAGCACCGGCUAACUACGUG